rnacentral:misc_RNA from 1 species
GCUGAUAGCAAAAGCAUUGAUUCUUCAAGGUCAACCGAGGAUGAUGAUGAUGAUGAGGUUGAGGUGGAAGCAGCACGAACUGCAGCAAUGAAUCAAGAAAUAAAGCGUGUCCUAACUGAAGUUCUUUUAAAGGUUACUGAUGAGCUAUUUAGUGAGAUUGCGACAAGGGUUCUUAGCGAAGAGGAUCUCUCUGUUGAUGGUUGGUGUCUCCUAUUUCAAUUCCUUUCCUCUUUAAAUUUCUUCCUUCUCCUUACCUUUGCACUCAGGUCGUUUAUAUUUGAGACUUAGUUGUUCUUCUUCCUCCCUUAAGUUGAGCAAAAAACGGGUGCUUCAAGUCAGAAGGUGUUAACAUCUGUUCAAGCUGUUACAACUCCCAAGGCCUCUGCCAAGGUUCUGAUACCACUCAAACCUAAAGAUACUCAUUCUGUUAAUGCCAGUGAAAAGUCUACUUCCACUUCUCCUGUGGAUCUAUUAGGCUUGGCUAACUAUGCGUCAGAUGAUGAGGAUGACAAUGAAAUCCAGAGUUCUGAUAAACAAAAGACCAAAGAGCAUGGAAAUGGAAAAUCACGUGAAGAAUCCGAGGAUCAUGAUAGAUCUCCUGCCAACCUGGAGAAAAAUCCUCAAAAAAUGAGUCCCAAUGUCGGCACUGAUGACAGGUCAACUAGAUAUUCUGCACAUGAAGAUGCUGGGGGCUCCUUUAAGACUGAAUCUAGAGUUCCAGAGGAUAAGAUGCCAGGUGGGAAGGAUGCUGUGAAAACUGAAAAGACAUCCCAGACUCCUGACUGCAAAAAGACUAAGAUAGAUCAUUCCAGAAGCGAAGACAAAAGAGAUAAGCCAGAUAAGAGCGGUAAACGUGAAGUUAGAAAAGGUUCUGGCACAAAUGAUAAUGGUAUGCUUACAAGCUCAAAGGACAGAAAAACUGAGAUAGAUGAAGGAAACCAUGGGAAUCAUGAGGAAAGACUAGCUAGAAAGGAAAAAGUGGGUGAUCUAGAUGGUUCAAAAGAUAUUGUGAAGGAGAAAAGCCGUAAGUCCGGGGAAAAAGCCAAGGAAUCUGACUCAAGGAAAAGGCCUUCGCCUUCUAAUGUCAAGGAAGAAAGGAAGGAAAAAGGAAGGGACAGCAGAGCUGGUGUUGCCAUAGAUAAUGGUAGAAAAAGAGAGAGAACGAAGGAUGAAAAGAGAGAAAAAUCUAGACGUAAAGAUGAAAGGGGCUCCAGCAGACGUAAAAGGCAUCGUUCAUCUUCUAAUGAUAGCAGGGGUAGAGAGAGCAAGGACAAGUCAACCCGUGCCAAUGAUCCCAGUGAUGAAUCUUCAGAUGAUUCUAGAAGGAAGGCGCAACCAAAUAGACACAGAUCUCCAUCACCACUAAGGUCAAGGAAAAGACACGUUUCGCGGUCUCCUCAUAGCAAGCACACUCAGCGCAGGCGUUCUCCUUACCCUGCUAGUGAAAGCAUCAGGGGAAGGAGGUCAAGGUCGAGAUCAAGAUCAAGGUCUCCUAAUCGUAGGAGAAGAUGAGCAAACAAAUACCUGGAGUCAAGAUAGAGUACUUAAGACUAAUGCCCUUGCAUAUUCUUAUUGGCUACCGCUUUUGGCUGUUAAGUAGAUAAUGGAUGCAUCAGUUGACCUGUUCGAAAUCCUCUGUACUGCCUUUGGCUGUUAAGUAUGACAAUAGAUAUGCAAGUUGACCUAUUAAAAUCUCGGUUUCAGAUUGUGGCUCACAGGAGUAAAGCUGCGAUACUCUCGUGCAGAGGACUAAUGAUAUGAAAGAUUUAUGGUGCCUGUAUCUGUUAUCAGCUUGUCUGUUGUUGACAUUUGCGACAGUAUUAGUUAUGAUUUUGAGGUUGAUAAAUUUUGUUAGCUGUACAUUGUAUUUUGGAGGUUGAGGUGUGUCUAAAGGAGAGGUGAACGAACACUUGAACAUCCAUGACCUUUUUACAUUUGGUACUAGUAAUCUUGGAAGUUGGGGAGUCCCAGAUCCUCAUUGUUAUGCAAUCUUAUAUAAUUCUACAUAGUUUCCUUGUGAGAAAAAAAACAUAAUAUUGAU